rnacentral:rRNA from 1 species
CCUACGGGAGGCAGCAGUGGGGGAUAUUGCACAAUGGGGGAAACCCUGAUGCAGCGACGCCGCGUGGGUGAAGAAGCGCCUCGGCGCGUAAAGCCCUGUCAGCAGGGAAGAAAAUGACGGUACCUGAAGAAGAAGCCCCGGCUAACUACGUGCCAGCAGCCGCGGUAAUACGUGGGGGGCAAGCGUUAUCCGGAUUUACUGGGUGUAAAGGGGGCGCAGACGGCGGUGCAAGCCAGGAGUGAAAGCCCGGGGCCCAACCCCGGGAAUGCUCUUGGAACUGCGUGGCUAGAGUGCAGGAGGGGCAGGCGGAAUUCCUGGUGUAGCGGUGAAAUGCGUAGAUAUCAGGAGGAACACCGGUGGCGAAGGCGGCCUGCUGGACUGCAACUGACGUUGAGGCCCGAAAGCGUGGGGAGCAAACAGGAUUAGAUACCCGAGUAGUC